AUGAACGCUGGCGGCGUGCCUAAUACAUGCAAGUCGAACGAGUUCUGAUUAUUGAAAGGUGCUUGCAUCUUGAUUUAAUUUUGAACGAGUGGCGGACGGGUGAGUAACACGUGGGUAACCUGCCCUUAAGUGGGGGAUAACAUUUGGAAACAGAUGCUAAUACCGCAUAAAUCCAAGAACCGCAUGGUUCUUGGCUGAAAGAUGGCGCAAGCUAUCGCUUUUGGAUGGGCCCGCGGCGUAUUAGCUAGUUGGUGAGGUAACGGCUCACCAAGGCAAUGAUACGUAGCCGAACUGAGAGGUUGAUCGGCCACAUUGGGACUGAGACACGGCCCAAACUCCUACGGGAGGCAGCAGUAGGGAAUCUUCCACAAUGGACGCAAGUCUGAUGGAGCAACGCCGCGUGAGUGAAGAAGGCUUUCGGGUCGUAAAACUCUGUUGUUGGAGAAGAAUGGUCGGCAGAGUAACUGUUGUCGGCGUGACGGUAUCCAACCAGAAAGCCACGGCUAACUACGUGCCAGCAGCCGCGGUAAUACGUAGGUGGCAAGCGUUAUCCGGAUUUAUUGGGCGUAAAGCGAGCGCAGGCGGUUUUUUAAGUCUGAUGUGAAAGCCCUCGGCUUAACCGAGGAAGUGCAUCGGAAACUGGGAAACUUGAGUGCAGAAGAGGACAGUGGAACUCCAUGUGUAGCGGUGAAAUGCGUAGAUAUAUGGAAGAACACCAGUGGCGAAGGCGGCUGUCUGGUCUGUAACUGACGCUGAGGCUCGAAAGCAUGGGUAGCGAACAGGAUUAGAUACCCUGGUAGUCCAUGCCGUAAACGAUGAAUGCUAGGUGUUGGAGGGUUUCCGCCCUUCAGUGCCGCAGCUAACGCAUUAAGCAUUCCGCCUGGGGAGUACGACCGCAAGGUUGAAACUCAAAGGAAUUGACGGGGGCCCGCACAAGCGGUGGAGCAUGUGGUUUAAUUCGAAGCAACGCGAAGAACCUUACCAGGUCUUGACAUCUUUUGAUCACCUGAGAGAUCAGGUUUCCCCUUCGGGGGCAAAAUGACAGGUGGUGCAUGGUUGUCGUCAGCUCGUGUCGUGAGAUGUUGGGUUAAGUCCCGCAACGAGCGCAACCCUUAUGACUAGUUGCCAGCAUUUAGUUGGGCACUCUAGUAAGACUGCCGGUGACAAACCGGAGGAAGGUGGGGAUGACGUCAAAUCAUCAUGCCCCUUAUGACCUGGGCUACACACGUGCUACAAUGGAUGGUACAACGAGUUGCGAGACCGCGAGGUCAAGCUAAUCUCUUAAAGCCAUUCUCAGUUCGGACUGUAGGCUGCAACUCGCCUACACGAAGUCGGAAUCGCUAGUAAUCGCGGAUCAGCACGCCGCGGUGAAUACGUUCCCGGGCCUUGUACACACCGCCCGUCACACCAUGAGAGUUUGUAACACCCGAAGCCGGUGGCGUAACCCUUUUAGGGAGCGAGCCGUCUAAGGUGGGACAAAUGAUUAGGGUG
rnacentral:rRNA from 1 species